rnacentral:rRNA from 1 species
AGUGAACGCUGGCGGUAGGCCUAACACAUGCAAGUCGAACGGCAGCACAGUAAGAGCUUGCUCUUACGGGUGGCGAGUGGCGGACGGGUGAGGAAUACAUCGGAAUCUACUUUUUCGUGGGGGAUAACGUGGGGAAACUUACGUUAAUACCGCAUACGACCUACGGGUGAAAGCAGGGGAUCUUCGGACCUUGCGCGAUUGAAUGAGCCGAUGUCGGAUUAGCUAGUUGGCGGGGUAAAGGCCCACCAGGGCGACGAUCCGUAGCUGGUCUGAGAGGAUGAUCAGCCACACUGGAACUGAGACACGGUCCAGACUCCUACGGGAGGCAGCAGUGGGGAAUAUUGGACAAUGGGCGCAAGCCUGAUCCAGCCAUACCGCGUGGGUGAAGAAGGCCUUCGGGUUGUAAAGCCCUUUUGUUGGGAAAGAAAAGCAGCAGGUUAAUACCCCGCUGUUCUGACGGUACCCAAAGAAUAAGCACCGGCUAACUUCGUG